GUGAACGCUGGCGGUAGGCCUCACCCCUGCCCGUCGAACGGCAGCACCGUAAGAGCUUGCUCUUACGGGUGGCGAGUGGCGGACGGGUGAGGAAUACAUCGGAAUCUACUUUUUCGUGGGGGAUAACGUAGGGAAACUUACGCUAAUACCGCAUACGACCUACGGGUGAAAGCAGGGGAUCUUCGGACCUUGCGCGAUUGAAUGAGCCGAUGUCGGAUUAGCUAGUUGGCGGGGUAAAGGCCCACCAAGGCGACGAUCCGUAGCUGGUCUGAGAGGAUGAUCAGCCACACUGGAACUGAGACACGGUCCAGACUCCUACGGGAGGCAGCAGUGGGGAAUAUUGGACAAUGGGCGCAAGCCUGAUCCAGCCAUACCGCGUGGGUGAAGAAGGCCUUCGGGUUGUAAAGCCCUUUUGUUGGGAAAGAAAAGCAGCAGGUUAAUACCCCGCUGUUCUGACGGUACCCAAAGAAUAAGCACCGGCUAACUUCGUG
rnacentral:rRNA from 1 species